AACUGGGAUUAGAUACCCCACUAUGCUCAGCCGUAAACUUUUACUUACACCUAAUCGCCAGGGAACUACGAGCCAAGCUUAAAACCCAAAGGACUUGACGGUACCCCAUAUCCCCCUAGAGGAGCCUGUCCUAUAAUCGAUAAUCCACGUUUAACCUCACCAUUUUUAGUUAAUCAGCCUGUAUACCUCCGUCGUCAGCUUACCACGUGAGCGUCAAUUAGUGAGCCUAAUGUUAUUUCACCAAUACGUCAGGUCAAGGUGCAGCAAAUGAAAUGGGAAGAGAUGGGCUACACUUUCUAUUUUAGAAGAUACGAAAAACUACCUAUGAAAACUAGUUAGAAGGCGGAUUUAGUAGUAAAAAGGAAUCAGCAUGUCCAUUUUAACCUGGCACUGGGGUGUGUACACACCGCCCGUCACC
rnacentral:rRNA from 1 species